rnacentral:rRNA from 1 species
GGAGGUAGUGACAAUAAAUCACAAUGCGGGACUAGUAGUCUUGCAAUUGGAUUGAGAACAAUGUACAACUCUUAUCGAUAAGCCAUUGGAGGGCAAGUCUGGUGCCAGCAGCCGCGGUAAUUCCAGCUCCAAUAGCGUAUAUUAACGUUGUUGCAGUUAAAAAGCUCGUAGUUGAAGUGUGGGUGGUGCCAUCUGUGAAGCUUCGGCUUCUAGGAUACUCACUACCCCCUUCCAGUAUCCAGUAGUGGGUAUUCAGUUACUUACUAUUGUGUGUUGGUCGUUUACUGUGAGAAAAUUAGAGUGUUCAAAGCAGGCGUUUGCUUGAAUAGAUUAGCAUGGAAUAAUAAUUGAAGGCUUUCGUGUUCGAUUUGAUUGGUUUGUUCAUGGAAGCAAGGUUAAAAGGAACAGUUGGGGGUAUUCAUAUUCACUAGUUAGAGGUGAAAUUCUCGGAUUUAUGGAAGAUGAACAAGUGCGAAAGCA